rnacentral:rRNA from 1 species
AGUGAACGCUGGCGGUAGGCCUAACACAUGCAAGUCGAACGGCAGCACAGUAAGAGCUUGCUCUUACGGGUGGCGAGUGGCGGACGGGUGAGGAAUACAUCGGAAUCUACUUUUUCGUGGGGGAUAACGUAGGGAAACUUACGCUAAUACCGCAUACGACCUACGGGUGAAAGCAGGGGAUCUUCGGACCUUGCGCGAUUGAAUGAGCCGAUGUCGGAUUAGCUAGUUGGCGGGGUAAAGGCCCACCAAGGCGACGAUCCGUAGCUGGUCUGAGAGGAUGAUCAGCCACACUGGAACUGAGACACGGUCCAGACUCCUACGGGGGGCAGCAGUGGGGAAUAUUGGACAAUGGGCGCAAGCCUGAUCCAGCCAUACCGCGUGGGUGAAGAAGGCCUUCGGGUUGUAAAGCCCUUUUGUUGGGAAAGAAAAGCAGCAGGUUAAUACCCCGCUGUUCUGACGGUACCCAAAGAAUAAGCACCAGCUAACUUCGUG